rnacentral:rRNA from 1 species
AUGUCGAUCGUGCCGUACGCCGGCGGGUCGGGGAGCUUGCUGCCUGUGCCGUGCCCAGUGCUCACCGGUGAGAACUACACCGUGUGGGCAAUCAAGGUUGAGGCCAACCUCGACGCGGCUGGGCUCUGGGAGGCUGUGGUUCCGGCGGAGCACGCGGCGGCGGCGGUCAUCGCCAAGAAGGACAAGCCGGCGAGAGCGUAUUUGCACGGGGCGCUCUCCGGGGAGAUUUUGCAGCAGGUCUCGUCGAAGAAAAGGGUCGCGGUGAUAUGGGCUAACUUGAAGACGAGGUUCGUCGGCGCGGACCGCGUGCGGGCGGCGCGGCUGGCCACUCUCCGCGGAGAGUUUGAGCAGCUGCGCAUGGCAGAGGCCGAUACGUUGGAUGUGUUCGCCGGCAAGCUCGGUGGCAUGGAGGCGCGAUUCGCGGGGCUUGGGUCGAUGCUGGAGGACGCCGCGAUGGUGAAGAAACUUCUCGACUCCGUGCCGGACCGCCUGUACGCGGCAGUGGUCGGAAUCGAGCAGUUCUGCUACGUCUCCACCAUGGCCUUCGAGGAAGCGCUCGGUCGCCUGAAGGCCUUCGACGAGCGACUGUGA